AAACCCCACACCAAGAAGAAGAAGAAGAAAAGAAGAAGAAGAAAGCCAGGCGGAGGUGUGGAUAAAAUCCACCAAGCCUCCGGCGGAAAAGUUGAUCGAUUAAAAACUUCAUUAAGGGCAAUUGCAGGGGGGGGCCUUCCCGCCCCCCCGCCCCCUCCCCGCAAAGCGUCAGGAUGAGGGAUCGGGGCGAAAACUCGUGAGUAAAGCGGGCAGCUUGCUCCAACUCCGGGUUUAAGCGGCGUCGGGAAAGUGGGGGGGCAAAAACCAAAAGGGAAAAAAAAAAACAGCAAGAAAGUCGAUUGGAUUCCGUUUAUUUUUAUUUUUUUUGAACCGAAUCUAAUUUUCCUGCGAAGAAGGAAGGAAGGAAGGAAGGAAGGAGAUGCCAGUCAAUUAAAUCCAGACCGGAGGGCUCUUCCAAGCCCUGUCCCCCCCCCCUUUCUCCCCCCCCCAAAUCCGAAACUGCCCCCGCCUUUCAUCUUCUUUGUCUCCAGCUGCCAAGUCGGGCGAAUUUCCCCUUUCUUUAUUUUAUUGGCCUCGGAGGCUGAUCAAUUCUCCUUUCGAUUCUUCUUCUCCUUUUUAACUCUCCUGAUCUGGGGGCUCCGCCGUUCCGAAUUCGAGGCUCGCUCCGGUUCUGCUCCCCUUUGGACCAAUGAAGGAACCGGAUGCCAUCAAACUUUUCAUCGGACAGAUCCCUCGGAAUUUAGACGAGAAGGACCUCCGGCCGAUUUUCGAACAGUUUGGCAAAAUCUACGAAUUGACGGUCAUCAAAGAUAAAUACACCGGCAUGCACAAAGGAUGCGCCUUCCUGACGUACUGUGCCCGGGAAUCCGCCCUCAAGGCCCAAAGCGCACUGCAUGAGCAGAAGACUCUGCCAGGGAUGAACCGGCCGAUCCAGGUGAAACCUGCAGACAGCGAAAGUAGGGGAGAAGACAGGAAGCUGUUUGUGGGGAUGCUGGGCAAACAGCAGACCGACGAAGACGUGCGGAAAAUGUUUGAGCCUUUUGGGACGAUUGAUGAAUGCACGGUACUCCGGGGUCCAGAUGGCACCAGCAAAGGCUGCGCCUUUGUGAAGUUCCAAAUGCACGCAGAAGCCCAGGCGGCCAUCAGUACGUUGCACGGGAGCCGCACGUUGCCGGGCGCUUCUUCCAGCCUGGUGGUGAAGUUUGCAGACACGGAGAAGGAGAGGGGUCUCAGGCGGAUGCAGCAGGUGGCCAACCAACUGGGCAUGUUCAGCCCCAUCGCGCUGCAGUUCGGGGCCUACAGCGCCUACACUCAGGCCCUCAUGCACCAGCAGGCCGCCCUGGUCGCCGCCCACUCUGCCUACCUCAACCCCAUGGCAGCCGUGCAGAUGCAGCAGAUGGCCACCCUCGCCCCCAACGGCCUCAUCGCCACCCCCAUCACCCCUUCCUCAGGAAGCAGCACACCACCCACCCUCACGGCCACCCCGGUCUCUGCCAUCCCAGCCACCCUCAGCGUCAACGGCUACAGCCCCGUGGCCACGCAGAGCACGGGCCAAGCGGCCUCCGAGGGGCUCUAUACCAACGGCGUCCACCCCUUUCCAGCACAGAGCUCAGCUGCGCCGCUUGAUCCCUUGCAACAGGCCUACGCCGGGAUGCAACAUUACACAGCUGCCUACCCUACAGCCUACGGACUGGUCAGCCCUGCCUUUACCCAGCAGCCCGCCAUCAUAACCCAGCAAGCUCCCCCACAGCAGAGAGAAGGACCUGAAGGAUGCAACAUCUUCAUUUAUCACUUGCCGCAGGAGUUCACCGACUCGGAGAUCUUACAGAUGUUCCUCCCCUUUGGGAACGUCAUUUCGGCCAAAGUUUUUGUCGACCGAGCGACCAAUCAGAGUAAAUGCUUCGGAUUCGUAAGUUUCGACAAUCCCGCCAGCGCGCAAGGCGCCAUCCAAGCCAUGAACGGCUUCCAGAUUGGGAUGAAAAGGUUGAAGGUGCAGUUAAAACGCCCCAAAGACGCCAACCGGCCGUAUUGAGCCACUUGACCAGCUGCCAGGGGGCCAAUCAUAUCUUGAGACGACUCUGUUGCUAAGACACCCUUCGUUGUCGCAGGAGACCUAGCUCCGCCCCCCUUGUCUGGAGCUCAAAGUAGGAGCCAUCUCUGCUUGACCUCUGUCACCCACUCUCCUUCUCCUCCUCCUCUCUGCUCUUCUUGUUCCUCAUCCAUCUCCUAGAAAAUGGCUUCUUCCGGGCAUCGGUUGCUUCGCUCAUUGACUUGACUCUGUUGGUCACCAAGACCUCUCUCCAAGGAUGGAGUUUCCCACCAGACCGGCUUCUUCUCCUGCUGCCUCCUCUCCAGCGUGGGAUCUGGCCCCCCUCUCUCUCCUUUAGGUCCAACCAAGGAGCAUCAGAUUGUGGGAGAUGCCUCCAAGGUCCAUUCUUGGUCAACAGUGGAACGAUGGAGAAUGGGGAAGAACUAGGAGGUUGAUUUUUGGAAUAGGUGGAUGGAUUUGAGAUGGACUUCACUGGAGAUGGAUGGAUUCAAGAUCAGAAGGCAGCCACUUUUGGGGGUCUCGCCCUCAUGGAGUCUCCCCCCCCUCUCCCCACUUUUCCUAACCCGCAUCGUCUUCUUGCAGGCCUUGGUGAAUGUUGGGUUGUAGUCAACAAGUCCAAGCCAAAAUUCAGCUACCUCUAACUUUGUACAUCUCAACCACACGACGGCCCUUGUGAAAGAGGGGGACCAACCCAUGCUCUCCAGAUGCUGCCAAGAGAGCUCUCUGAGCUUCCCUCACCAUAAACCCCCUAGCCAGAAUCGAAUGGGCUUUGUAGUCCUGCAGGUUUGAGAAAGCCACAGGUUUCCCUGACUAGAUUUCUAAGCUCCCAGUAGAGAGAUCAGGGACCAAGAGGCAGCCUAGCUUCUGAUUAAACCAGUGUUUCUCAACUGAAACACUGAAGAGGGGUGGGCUACAAGUCCCAGAAUGGGGAAUUCUGGGAGUUGUAAUCCACCCGCUUUGGGAGUUGAAGUCCACCUGUCUUCAAACUUGCCAAGACUGAGAAACUUUGCAUGAAAUCCGUUUUCUUUCUAAUGGCCUUUUGGGGGGGGGGGGAGAAUUGA